rnacentral:rRNA from 1 species
GUGGGGAAUUUUGGACAAUGGGCGCAAGCCUGAUCCAGCAAUGCCGCGUGCAGGAAGAAGGCCUUCGGGUUGUAAACUGCUUUUGUCAGGGAAGAAAUCUUCUGGGCUAAUACCCCGGGAGGAUGACGGUACCUGAAGAAUAAGCACCGGCUAACUACGUGCCAGCAGCCGCGGUAAUACGUAGGGUGCGAGCGUUAAUCGGAAUUACUGGGCGUAAAGCGUGCGCAGGCGGCUUUGCAAGACAGAUGUGAAAUCCCCGGGCUCAACCUGGGAACUGCAUUUGUGACUGCAAGGCUAGAGUACGGCAGAGGGGGAUGGAAUUCCGCGUGUAGCAGUGAAAUGCGUAGAUAUGCGGAGGAACACCAAUGGCGAAGGCAAUCCCCUGGGCCUGUACUGACGCUCAUGCACGAAAGCGUGGGGAGCAAACAGGAUUAGAAACCCCGGUAGUCC